rnacentral:rRNA from 1 species
UACGUAGGGCGCAAGCGUUGUCCGGAAUUAUUGGGCGUAAGAGCUCGUAGGCGCCUGUCGCGUCUGCUGUGAAAUCCCGGGGCUUAACCCCGGGCGUGCAGUGGAUACGGGCUGGCUGGAGGCAGGCAGGGGAGAACGGAAUUCCCGGUGUAGCGGUGAAAUGCGCAGAGUAUCGGGAGGAACACCGGUGGCGAAGGCGGUUCUCUGGGCCUGUACUGACGCUGAGGAGCGAAAGCGUGGGGAGCGAACGG